rnacentral:lncRNA from 1 species
UUUCUCUUUCACCCUGCCCAUCCCCCGCCUACCCCCCAUAGCCAAAAAUCAGCCACCAACACUGGCCGGCACCUCUGAUACCACCACCAAUAACCCAACUCAAAAUGAGGGAAAAUCUGGGGUAUGAUAUGAUCCGGGAUGCUCUACAAACUACCGGAGAAUUAAUGAUUGUUGGCGAGAGACUAAGGAUUCAAGCCAUGGAAUUCAAGACGUUGAAGUUGAUGAAGUUAAGGUCAAAAUAUAUGUUAGAUGUGAAGGGCAUGACAACCGAAACAGCUUAAAGGAAUUGAACUGCAAGCGGCCGACAUGGAGACCAAAUGAAGGUGAUAAUGCUGGCCAAUAUCUCGAACAAGUUAUGGCAUUCACAAG